rnacentral:misc_RNA from 1 species
AUAGGACCCCUGGGUCCAACGGUCAUCGAGGAGUUGUUGUUCCACACUGGUGCACCAGAAUUGGUAGUCCAGAAGGGGGUGUUGUAACCACUUGAAGGUCGGUGCCUGUAAGGAUCCAUUGGAAGAGGAGAAGAAGCGAGAGACUCAAAGACAAGGUGGAGAAUCUGGAAGGAACAAAACGAUCAACGAAGAGAAAAGAUAGGAG